rnacentral:rRNA from 1 species
UAACCUGCCCAUAAGACUGGGAUAACUCCGGGAAACCGGGGCUAAUACCGGAUAACAUUUUGAACCGCAUGGUUCGAAAUUGGAAAGGCGGCAAUUCGGCAUGUCACUUAUGAGAUGGGCUACCCGCGUCGCAUUAGCUAGUUGGUGAGGUACACGGCUCACCAAGGCAACGAUGCGUAGCCGACCUGAGAGGGUGAUCGGCCACAGCUGGGACUGAGACACGGCCCAGACUCCUACGGGAGGCAGCAGUAGGGAAUCUUCCGCAAUGGACGAAAGUCUGACGGAGCAACGCCGCGUGAGUGAUGAAGGCUUUCGGGUCGUAAAACUCUGUUGUUAGGGAAGAACAAGUGCUAGUUGAAUAAGCUGGCACCUUGACGGUACC